rnacentral:rRNA from 1 species
CCCUUAGAUGUCCUGGGCCGCACGCGCGUUACACUGAUGCAUUCAACGAGCUUAUAACCUUGGCCGAGAGGCCUGGGCAAUCUUGUUAACGUGCAUCGUGAUAGGGAUAGAUUAUUGAAAUUAUUAAUCUUGAACGAGGAAUUCCUAGUAAACGCAGAUCAUCAAUCUGCAUUGAUUACGUCCCUUCCCUUUGUACACACCGCCCGUCGCACCUACCGAUUGGAUGGUCCGGUGAAGCCUCGGGAUUGUGGUUCUUGCCGCUUUAUUGUGGCGUGACCGCGAGAACUUGUCUAAACCUUAUCAUCUAGAGGAAGGUGAAGUCGUAACA